rnacentral:rRNA from 1 species
CAGUGAUAAACUGGAGGAAGGUGGGGAUGACGUCAAGUCAUCAUGGCCCUUACGAGUAGGGCUACACACGUGCUACAAUGGCAUAUACAAAGAGAAGCGACCUCGCGAGAGCAAGCGGACCUCAUAAAGUAUGUCGUAGUCCGGAUUGGAGUCUGCAACUCGACUCCAUGAAGUCGGAAUCGCUAGUAAUCGUGGAUCAGAAUGCCACGGUGAAUACGUUCCCGGGCCUUGUACACACCGCCCGUCACACCAUGGGAGUGGGUUGCAAAAGAAGUAGGUAGCUUAACCUUCGGGAGGGCGCUUACCACUUUGUGAUUCAUGACUGGGGUGAAGUCGUAACAAGGUAACCGUAGGGGAACCU